rnacentral:rRNA from 1 species
AUUGAACGCUGGCGGCAUGCCUUACACAUGCAAGUCGAACGGUAACAGGUCUUCGGAUGCUGACGAGUGGCGAACGGGUGAGUAAUACAUCGGAACGUGCCCGAUCGUGGGGGAUAACGAAGCGAAAGCUUUGCUAAUACCGCAUAAGAUCUACGGAUGAAAGCAGGGGACCGCAAGGCCUUGCGCGAACGGAGCGGCCGAUGGCAGAUUAGGUAGUUGGUGGGAUAAAAGCUUACCAAGCCGACGAUCUGUAGCUGGUCUGAGAGGACGACCAGCCACACUGGGACUGAGACACGGCCCAGACUCCUACGGGAGGCAGCAGUGGGGAAUUUUGGAUAAUGGGCGAAAGCCUGAUCCAGCCAUGCCGCGUGCAGGAUGAAGGCCUUCGGGUUGUAAACUGCUUUUGUACGGAACGAAAAGACUCUGGUUAAUACCUGGGGUCCAUGACGGUACCGUAAGAAUAAGCACCGGCUAACUACGUG